AGUAACUGCGAGUGAAGCGGGAAAAGCUCAAAUUUAAAAUCUGAUGGCCCUUCCGUCAUCCGAGUUGUAAUUUAGAGAAGCGUCUUCCGCGCUGGACCGUGCAUAAGUCUCCUGGAACGGAGCGUCAUAGAGGGUGAGAAUCCCGUCUUUGGCAUGGACCCCAGGGCUUCCGUGAUGCGCUCUCGAAGAGUCGAGUUGUUUGGGAAUGCAGCUCAAAAUGGGUGGUGAACUCCAUCUAAAGCUAAAUAUUGGCGAGAGACCGAUAGCGAACAAGUACCGUGAGGGAAAGAUGAAAAGCACUUUGGAAAGAGAGUGAAACAGUACGUGAAAUUGUUGAAAGGGAAACGCUUGAAGUCAGUCGCGUCGACCGAGACUCAGCCUUGCCUCGGCUUGGUGUACUUCUCGGCUGACGGGUCAGCAUCGAUUUUGACCCUUGGAUAAUGGUGGGGGAAAGGUGGCACCUUUACGGGUGUGUUAUAGUCCCCUAUCGGAUGUGGGGGUUAGGAUCGAGGAAUUCAGCAUGCGCCUCUCGGCGUCGGGGCCUUGGCCCACGUCUACAUGCUUAGGAUGCUGGCAUAAUGGCUUUAAACGACCCGUCUUGAAACACGGACCAAGGAGUCUAACAUACCCGCGAGUGUUCGGGUGGAAAACCCGUGCGCGCAAUGAAAGUAAAAGUUGGGACCUCUGUCGUGGAGGGCACCGACGCCUGGACCAGACCUUCUGUGACGGCUCUACGGUAGAGCGUGUAUGUUGGGACCCGAAAGAUGGUGAACUAUGCCUGAAUAGGGUGAAGCCAGAGGAAACUCUGGUGGAGGCUCGUAGCGAUUCUGACGUGCAAAUCGAUCGUCAAAUUUGGGUAUAGGGGCGAAAGACUAAUCGAACCAU
rnacentral:rRNA from 1 species